ACUGUACGGCAUUCUGCGMUGCCUACCYKCAGAKYUWRMGSSARCCUCUUMAWKGAGGUUUUUAGUGGCGAACGGGUGAGRAACACGUAAGUAACCUGCCUUUAAGACRAGGAUAACAAMCGGAAGGUUACUAAGACUGGAUAGGAAACAAAAAGGCAUCUUUUUGUUUUUAAAARACCUUCUUACGAAKGUAUGCUUAAAGAGGGGCUUGCGCCACAUUAGUUAGUUGGUAGAGUAAAAGCCUACCAAGACGAUGAUGUGUAGCUGGACUGAGAGGUUGAACAGCCACAUUGGGACUGAGACACGGCCCAAACUCCUACGGGAGGCAGCAGUAGGGAAUUUUCGGCAAUGGAGGAAACUCUGACCGAGCAACGCCGCGUGAACGAUGAAGUAUUUCGGUAUGUAAAGUUCUUUUAUUGAAGAARAAAAAGUAGUGGAAAAACUAUAUUGACGUUAUUCAAUGAAUAAGCCCCGGCUAACUAUGUGCCAGCAGCCGCGGUAAGACAUAGGGGGCGAGCGUUAUCCGGAAUUAUUGGGCGUAARGGGUGCGUAGGCUGUUAGAUAAGUCUAUAAUUUAAUUUCAGUGCUUAACGCUGUCUUGUUAUAGAAACUGUCUUGACUAGAGUGAGAUAGAGGCAAGCGGAAUUCCAUGUGUAGCGGUAAARUGUGUAAAUAUAUGGAGGAACACCAGAAGCGUAGGCGGCUUGCUGGGUCUUUACUGACGCUGAGGCACGAAAGCGUGGGUAGCAAACAGGAUUAGAUACCCUGGUAGUCCACGCCGUAAACGAUGAGUACUAAGUGUCGGGGUAAAACUCGGUACUGAAGUUAACACAUUAAGUACUCCGCCUGAGUAGUACGYACGCAAGUAUGAAACUUAAAGGAAUUGACGGGACUCCGCACAAGCGGUGGAUCAUGUUGUUUAAUUCGAAGAUACACGAAAAAUCUUACCAGGUCUUGACAUACUCUGCAAAGCUAUAGAAAUAUAGUGGAGGUUAUCAGGUAUACAGGUGGUGCAUGAUUGUCGUCAGUUCGUGUCGUGAGAUGUUAGGUUAAGUCAUAAAACGAACGCAACCCUUGUCGUUAAUUGCCAGCACAUAAUGGUGGGGACUUUAACGAGACUGCCAAUUAAACAUUGGAGGAAGGUGAGGAUUACGUCAAAUCAUCAUGCCCCUUAUGAUCUGGGCUACAAACGUGAUACAAUGGCUGUGACAAAGAGUAGCUGAAACGCGAGUUUUUAGCCAAUCUCAAAAAAGCAGUCUCAGUUCGGAUUGAAGUCUGUAACUCGACUUCAUGAAGUUGGAAUCGCUA
rnacentral:rRNA from 1 species